rnacentral:lncRNA from 1 species
UCUCAGAAGAUUGAUUAUGGAUUCAAGCCUAGAGGUAAUAACAGUACUUCUGCUACACUCCAUAAAGAAUCGAUUGGCGUUAUGCAGUCUGAACCUGUUGUGACGUCGCCAAACAAGAACUUGGAGGUUGGGAUUGGGUCAGAUGUGGAUGUGAGGCUUCAAGGAGAUGGAAAACCAAAACCUCUUGUGAGCGGAAAGGCCUCUGGUAAAGCAAGCAAUGUGAAUCCAGUUACCAUUUCCAAAGUGGAGAAAAGCAACGAACCAUCGAAAGUCCGAG